CUGGCUCAGGAUGAACGCUAGCGUACAGGCUUAACACAUGCAAGUCGAGGGGCAGCAUGAGAUCAGCUUGCUGAUCUGAUGGCGACCGGCGCACGGGUGAGUAACGCGUAUCCAACUUCCCCUACGUCAGGCAUAGCCCGGUGAAAACCGGAUUAACUCCUGAUAGGUUUCACUAGAUGGCAUCUGACGGUGAAUAAGGCUCAGCGGUAAGGGAUGGGGAUGCGUCUGAUUAGCUUGUUGGCGGGUAACGGCCCACCAAGGCGACGAUCAGUAGGGUUCUGAGAGGAAGGUCCCCCACAUUGGAACUGAGACACGGUCCAAACUCCUACGGGAGGCAGCAGUGAGGAAUAUUGGUCAAUGGGCGCGAGCCUGAACCAGCCAAGUAGCGUGCAGGAAGACGGCCCUAUGGGUUGUAAACUGCUUUUGUGCGGGAAUAAAGUCAGGGACGUGUCCCUGUUUGCAUGUACCGCAAGAAUAAGGACCGGCUAAUUCCGUGCCAGCCGCCGC
rnacentral:rRNA from 1 species